UACAGAGGUCUCAAGCGUUGUUCGGAUUCAUUGGGCGUAAAGGGUGUGUAGGUGGCGCCGUUAGUCGGGUGUGAAAUUUCGGAGCUUAACUCCGAAACUGCAUUCGAUACUGCGGUGCUUGAGGACUGGAGAGGAGACUGGAAUUCAUGGUGUAGCAGUGAAAUGCGUAGAGAUCAUGAGGAAGACCAGGGGCGAAGGCGGGGCUCUGGACAGUUCCUGACACUGAGACACGAAGGCCAGGGGAGCAAACGGG
rnacentral:rRNA from 1 species